rnacentral:rRNA from 1 species
CAGUCGCCGCGGUAAUACGAAGGGUGCAAGCGUUAAUCGGAAUUACUGGGCGUAAAGCGUGCGUAGGCGGUUUGUUAAGUCUGCUGUGAAAUCCCCGGGCUCAACCUGGGAAUGGCAGUGGAUACUGGCAAGCUAGAGUGUGUCAGAGGAUGGUGGAAUUCCCGGUGUAGCGGUGAAAUGCGUAGAGAUCGGGAGGAACAUCAGUGGCGAAGGCGGCCAUCUGGGACAACACUGACGCUGAGGCACGAAAGCGUGGGGAGCAAACUGGAUUAGAUACCCCAGUAGUCCCUGUCUCUUAUAA